CCCUUAGAUGUCCUGGGCCGCACGCGCGCUACACUGAUGCAUUCAACGAGUUUUACCUUGGCCGAGAGGCCUGGGCAAUCUUUUAAACCUGCAUCGUGAUAGGGAUAGAUUAUUGCAAUUAUUAAUCUUGAACGAGGAAUUCCUAGUAAACGCAGAUCAUCAAUCUGCAUUGAUUACGUCCCUGCCCUUUGUACACACCGCCCGUCGCACCUACCGAUUGAAUGGUCCGGUGAAGCCUCGGGAUUGUGGCGGUUGCCUUUAUUGGUGUCCGCCGCGAGAACUUGUCUAAACCUUAUCAUCUAGAGGAAGGUGAAGUCGUAACA
rnacentral:rRNA from 1 species